rnacentral:rRNA from 1 species
GCCUUACACAUGCAAGUCGAACGGCAGCAUGAUCUAGCUUGCUAGAUUGAUGGCGAGUGGCGAACGGGUGAGUAAUACAUCGGAACGUGCCCUGUAGUGGGGGAUAACUAGUCGAAAGAUUAGCUAAUACCGCAUACGACCUGAGGGUGAAAGUGGGGGACCGCAAGGCCUCAUGCUAUAGGAGCGGCCGAUGUCUGAUUAGCUAGUUGGUGGGGUAAAGGCCCACCAAGGCGACGAUCAGUAGCUGGUCUGAGAGGACGAUCAGCCACACUGGGACUGAGACACGGCCCAGACUCCUAACGGGAGGCAGCAGAAG